rnacentral:rRNA from 1 species
UACAGAGGGUGCGAGCGUUGUUCGGAAUUAUUGGGCGUAAAGGGCGCGUAGGCGGUGCGGUAAGUCACCUGUGAAAUCUCCUGGCUCAACUGGGAGCUUGCAGGCGAAACUGCCGUGCUGGAGUGUGGGAGAGGUGCGUGGAAUUCCCGGUGUAGCGGUGAAAUGCGUAGAGAUGUGGAGGAACACCAAUGGCGAAGGCAGCCUUCUGGGCCAACACUGACGCUCACGCACGAAAGCGUGGGGAGCAAACAGG